rnacentral:rRNA from 1 species
UACGUAGGGGCCUAGCGUUGUCCGGAAUCAUUGGGCGUAAAGAGCGCGUAGGCGGCCCGGUAAGUCCGCUGUAAAAGUCAAAGGCUCAACCUUUGAAUGUCAGUGGAUACUGCCGGGCUAGAGUCCGGAAGAAGCGAGUGGAAUUCCUGGUGUAGCGGUGGAAUGCGCAGAUAUCAGGAGGAACACCAACGGCGAAGGCAGCUCGCUAGGACGGUACUGACGCUGAGGCGCGAAAGCGUGGGGAGCGAACAGG